CAAAACCAACCUUUACUCUAGUCUGGGUUUGUUGACGUCAGCGACAAACAAAAAUUAAAAAAAAUACUAAAAAUUUUAGAAUUUUUUUAAAAUAAAUAUUUACUCAUAUUUUUCACUUCUCACACCAAAACUCUAUACAAAUUCCUCUCCUCAUAUAUCACGUGAAUAGUGGCUGCCCUUGCAAAAAGCAAUAUGUGUUUCCAGCAGUUGCCAUUCGCCAUGGCAAAUACUAUUCUUUUUU
rnacentral:lncRNA from 1 species